UUUAUCCCCUUUCUUUUAUCCCCCGUUUUUCUCAUUUGCAGGACCAAUGGAGGAGGCCGACGAACCAACCACAAAGAAUCUUUCUCCCCAACUCAUCCCAUCUCCCUACAACAACAUCUUAUCUCCCUAAUUUGCCGUUUGAGCGCUGGAUCUAUUUUUCUCUUUUUCCCUCUCUUAAUACCUUGCAUAAUCUGAUUAUUGCAUUGUUUCAGGAGGUUCAUGAGUUUGAUGUACUAGAUGGAGGAGCAGACUGUUCUGGUUCCGCUCAAGAUGCAGCAACGACAGCAGUUCGCUGCGAUUCAGCCAUAGUACAUCUUCCAGACCAUGCCCUAGCUCGCGGCUGUCUUCUCGGGGACCAAUGAUGCUACCGUCUCCGCGCCGCCGGCCGUGUUGGCCAUGGCCUUCUACCCUCCUCCACCGCCGUCGGCUUCCACUACACCAAUGCCCUGGGCCGAGACGCCAUUGGUGACAGGGUCUCAUUCCAGCAGGCGUCCCCUGGGGUCGACAGCAUGGCUUUCGCAACAGCUGCAGCACCGGCCAGGGCUAACAACAAGAAAAGCUGCUCAGUCUACUUGGAGUGAAUGACAGCGUAUACAGGAUUACAGAAUCCACGAUAGGACAUCUAGCUAGGCUCUGGUCAUGGCAGGAGGCUGCAGCUGCUCAAGAUCUGGGAGUAAAGCACAGAACGGCUGGGUGCGCUGCGCAGGGGCAUCGCAUUCACCGGCGAGAUUAGGUGAACUGAGUUAUUUCUGGAGAAUCUGGUUAUGGUCGAUUUUGUUAUGGAGAUUCCUACAUAGUUUUGCAGGGUGCAUUUCAGUGAAGACAACGCAUGGGUCGUGUGCCACCCUUGUGCCAGCUUUGGAGCAGCUGGAGAAUGUGGACUCUGCGUUGAAGUUUCCGAAGUUUCCGACAGCUAUAUGUAAUUCGUCUAGCUGGCCCUUGUGUUUGAACAAAUUUUUAUUGAACGAACCAAGGCAUGUACACGUACUUGCUAAUUUUCUGUUGAUUUUGCUAGCAACCGGUGGUGGUUGUAUUGCUGUCCUACGGCUCAUUCAGCUAUUUCAUUUGUGUUGCUUGAUAAUUCACCGAUGAAAAUCUGUAACAACCGAACAACCUUUACUAGAUGGUAAACUUUCCUUCGGAUUUUGUGGCCAAACAGCAGAUUACUUUCCACCUGAUCUGUUUAUUUUUGCAUUGGACCAUUUAUACGUGCAAGGUAACUCUUGGUCAUUUGUUAUUGAGAUGCUACUACUCUUUGUCCAUAUGUCUCUUGAUAUAAACCGAAGUGGUCAUCUGCUAUUUA